AGUGAACGCUGGCGGUAUGCCUAACACAUGCAAGUCGAACGGCAGCACAGUAAGAGCUUGCUCUUACGGGUGGCGAGUGGCGUACGGGUGAGGUAUACAUCGGAAUCUACUUUUUCGUGGGGGAUAACGUAUGGAAACUUACGCUAAUACCGCAUACGACCUACGGGUGAAAGCAGGGGAUCUUCUGACCUGGCGCUAUUGAAUGAGUCGAUGUCGGAUUAGGUAGUUGGCGGGGUAAAGGCCCACCAAGGCGACGAUCCGUAGCUGGUCUGAGAGGAUGAUCAGCCACACUGGAACUGAGACACGGUCCAGACUCCUACGGGAGGCAGCAGUGGGGAAUAUUGGACACUGGGCGCAAGCCUGAUCCAGCCAUACCGCGUGGGUGAAGAAGGCCUUCGGGUUGUAAAGCCCUUUUGUUGGGAAAGACAAGCAGCAGGUUAAUACCCCGCUGUUCUGACGGUACCAAAAGAAUAAGCACCGGCUAACUUCGUG
rnacentral:rRNA from 1 species